AAACCCAGAAAAUAAAUGUUGGAGAGCCUGCAGGGAGAUUGGAACUCUUAGCACUGCUGGUGGGAAUGCAAAAUGGCACAACCAUUUUGGAAAAUGAUAUGGUGCAUCCUCAGAAAGCUAGAAAUAGAAAUACCAUAUGAUCCAGCAAUCCCACUUCUAGGAAUAUACCCUAGGGAAAUAAAAGCUGUUUCAUGAAUAGACACACGUGCACACCCAUGUUCAUUGCCACAUUUUUCACAAUAGCAAUACAAUAUGGUGGAAAUAACCUGGUGCUCAUCAACAGAUGAAUGGAUAAACAAACCAUGGUAUACACACAAUGGAACAUUAUGCAACGAUAAAUAACAAUAAUGAAUGUGUGAAGCAUCUCACAACAUGGAUGAAUCUGGAGGGCUGAGUGGAAUAAGUCAAUCACAAAAGGAUAAAUAUUGUAUGAGACCACUACUAUAAAAACUCCAGAAUAGGUUUACACACAAAAAGAAACAAUCUUUGAUGGGUAUGAAGGAGGGGAGGGGCAGGGAUGUAAAACACUAAAUAAACAAAUAGAUAAGUGGUAACUUGGAAUGGUAAGACCGUAUGCAAUACUGGGGAAGCCAGCACACCUUGUUCAGGGUAAGGUCAUGGAAGGUCCAUGGACAAGGUUCAUCCUUUGCUCAAAGAUUAGACAGGCCCGUAAAACGAAACAAGACUAAAGGGACACAACAGCCCAGGUGCAAGGACUAGAAAGCAGGAGGGGACAGGAAAGAGGGAACCCAAGGUCGAGAAGGGGAGUGUUGAGAUGUCCUGAGGUUGUUAAGCAACAACAUAAAACAAUAUGUGUACUAUUUCAUAAGAAGCUAGUUUGUUCUGUAAACCUUCAUCUAAAGUUCAAUAUAAAUAAAUAAAUAAAUAGAUUAAAGCCUGCAUCAAUCAGUAAUUAAAACAUUUAAGGUAAACUCAACUAAGCAAAUUAUUGCAAUUAUUGCACUUACUAAUUGUAAUUACUAUAUGAUAAUGAGAUAAUAUUUAACAAAUACUUUAAUUGGUAUUUAAAAAUAUAAAUUUUAUACAUAACAAUGUAGUUCAGUCUUUAUAAAGAAUUAAAAUAACCUCUAUAAUGCAUAUAUUUCCAGUUUUUAAAUACAAUUCUCUUUUACUUUUAAAAGAAAAAACGUAUUAUCUCUCUAUGGUAGGCUUGUUAGAAACUCAAUGGCAAUAUUUGCAAGAUGCUUUCAUUCAGAAUCUUGCAGAUAUGCUGACUGAAAUUAAAAUAUUAAAUUAAAAUAUUCCAAGUACUAUUGUUAUGUGUACAUCUUAAUGCCUAAAUAGCGUUAGUAGAGAUCACUGGAAAAAAAAAAAAAAACUUUUAAGUCUUAUAUUUUAGGUUGUUUAUUUUCCCCAUAGGGAAUAGCUUUGUUGUUAUUGUUGUUGUUAGGUGCCGUCGAGUUGGUUCCGACUCAUAGCGACCCUAUGCACAGCAGAAUGAAACACUGCCUGGUCCUGAGCCAUCCUUACAAUCGUUGUUAAGCUUGAGCUCAUUGUUGCAGCCACUGUGUCAAUCCGCCUCGUUGAGUGUCUUCCUCUUUUCCACUGACCCUGUACUCUGCCAAGCAUAAUGUCCUUCUCUAGGGACUGAUCCCUGCUGACAACACGUCCAAAGUAUGUAAGACGCAGUUUCGCCAUCCUUGCCUCUAAGGAGCAUUCUGGCUAUACUUCUUCGAAGACAGAUUUGUUGGUUCUUUUGGCAGUCCGUGGUAUAUUUAAUAUUCUUCUCCAACACCACAAUUCAAAGGUGUCAAUUCUUCUUCAGUCUUCCUUAUUCAUUGUCCAGCUUUCACAUGCAUAUGAUGUGAUUGAAAAUAACAUGGCUUACGUCAGGCACACCUUAGUCUUCAAGGUGACAUCUUGGCUCUUUAACACUUUGAAGAGGUCCUUUGCAGCAGAUUUACCCAAUGCAACGUGUCUUUUGAUUUCUUGACUGCUGCUUCCGUGGCUGUUGAUUGUGGAUCCAAGUAAAAUGAAGUCCUUGACAACUUCAGUCUUUUCUCCGAUUAUCAUGAUGUUGCUCAUUGGUCCAUUUGUGAUGAUUUUUGUUUUCUUUAUGUUGAGGUGCAAUCCAUACUGAAGGCUGUGGUCUUUAAUCUUCAUUAGUAAGUGCUUCAAGUCCUCUUCACUUUCAGCAAGCAAGGUCGGGGAAUCACUUUAGAAAAUAUAUUUCAUCUAUAUCUUCAAAAUUUCCUGAAAUUUUGAAUGUUGACAAAUUUAAAUAGAAUAGCAUGAAGCCCACUGGUGUUGCAACGAUAUCUGUCACUCUUUGUUUGAAAUCUACAGUGACAUAUGAGCAAUAAAUUACACUUAUAUGAGAAUAGUAAAUACUUGAGAACCAAUGAGGAAAAGGGGAAAUUCUAAUUGUUUCUUUUCACACCACCUCCAGAGCAUAGAUAUUAACAUCUCUGUUUUUUUUUUUUUUCCAGAAGUUUGGAGAGUAAUAAUACUUUGCCCAAGGUCACACAGCAAGACAGAAUUUCCUGACUCCAAGGUAGCAAGCUGGUGUUCAAACAAAGUAUGAUAGCCAUGCCUAUCUGAAGAGCGAGACCUCACAGACAUAGACAUGUCUAUUAUGAAACCCUGUUAUUAGUAGUUCCCCUCUGAUAUGUGUGAGAUUUUUCUUUUCAUCCUUCUUGGGAUUAUAAUGUUUUACAAAGAGGAACUUGAAGUACUUACUGAGGAAGAUCAAAGAUUAUAGCCUUCAGUAUGAAUUGCACCUCAACAUAAAGAAAAAAAAAUACAACCAGACCAAUAAGCAAUAUCAUGGUAAACGGAGAAAAUAUUGAAGUUAUCAAGAACUUCAUUUUACUUGGAUCUACAAUCAACACCCAUGGAAGCAGAAAUCAAGAAAUCAGAUGAUGUAUUGCAUUGGGCAAAUCAGCGGCAAAAGACGUAUUUAAAGUGUUGAAAAGCAAAGAUAUCGCUUUGAGGACUAAGGUGUGCCUGAACAAAACCAUGAUGUUUUCAAUUGCGUCAUAUACAUGUAAAAGCUGGACAAUGAACAAGGAAGAUCAAGGAAGAACUGACACCUUAGAAAUAUGGUGUUGACAAAGAACAUUGAAUAUACAUGAACUGCCAGAAGGAUGAACAAAUCUGUCUUGGAAGAAGUACAAUCAGAGUGUUCCUUAGAAGCAAAGAUGGCGAGACUUCAUCUCACAUACUUUGGAUAUGUUAUCAGGAGGGACAAGUCUCUGGAGAAGGACAUCAUGCUUGGUAAAGUAGAAGGUUAACGACAAAGAGGAAGGCCCUCAGUGAGGUGGAUUGACACAGUGGCUACAACAAACAUAACAAAGAUUGUGAGGAUGGCACAGGACCAGGCAGUGUUUCACUGUGUUGUACAUAGGGUACCUAUGAGUCAGAACAGACUCAAAGACACCUAACAAUAACAAUGACAAUAUUCCCCUUUUAUACUUGACUUUUCUACAAGUCAACCCAAACUACUUUAAAAUUCUCCAAAAUAAUGUAACAAUAUAGCUUGAAUCCUUCAUGACAAUCCUAACGUAAAAUAAUCUGUUGCUAUAUUUUUUUGUUUUUUUGUUCUUAUGUUAGUCCAUGUUUCACACAUUAUGCUUGAUCCAAUGCCAUGGUGAUUCUGGGUCUUGGUAUUAUCCCUACCAUAUACAAUGGAAUCAAGUUCUACUAAGUUCGAGAAGUUCAUAAAAAGUAAGCCCAGAAUGGUGCUUAUAGCAGAAUGUCUGAUGCUCAGUUUUGGCAAAUUGUAAGAAGAGUUUGAAGUACACUACAAACUCUGACAAGCAGUUAUAUAUUUAGGAUGCCAUGAAAACUAAAGAUAUGUAUUGGUAACUGACCCACAGUGUUCAUGACAAUUACAGAACCAGUGGUCAUCACUGGAAAGUACUUGUAUUCAUUGUGGCUAAACUGAAUGCCUCGUUUUAGAGAACAGAAAGCCUUCGUAGGUUUUCUUAAAGUUCUAUUUAUGAUUACCCACUUGGGUAAAAGGGAAGUAACAAAUACAGAAUAUGAUAGAUUUUAGACAGUACACUUUAUAUUGAAUCUAAGAUUUGUACUAAUCUUCAAGCCCUGAUCACAAAAAUGUUCCUUAUGUUUUGCUUCUAGCAACCCUAGGAGCUGGGGAAUUUGGACCUUCCCAUGGGCAGAUAUGUCAGUCAUGGGCUCUAAUCCUCGUCUUUAGAGUCUUAGGAUCCUGUAAUAUGAGAGAAAGAAUGACCACAUUGGGCUUCAUGCCUUCAGGUUGCAUUUAGAAAAACCUUUUUUUUUUUUUUUUGUCACAACAGGGGAAUGAGGAAUGAAAAGGACGUAUGUCUGGAUGGUCACAGUGACCCCACUUGUGACCUACCGCACCAAACUGAAAGCAAAUCAGUGUGUGCAGUCCCCAUUGCAAGCCCUGAGCUGACUGGAGGGUGGAAGGAGAACUGAUCAAGAUGAGGAACUCACUUUUAUCUUCUUGCUUUCUGGGCUUGUACUUUAAAAAAUGAGACAUACAGACAUCUCUUUUGGUUCUCUAAAUCUUCCUUGCCCCUUCUGGUCUGUUUCCCUGCACUAAGAUGGCCAGUAUGGUCGCCUUCUUCUCCACCUUAGCCUAUAUUAGCUCUACAGAUAGUAAAGAUUCAGGCAGCAUAUGGGACACAUGAUACAGCCUAAUAUGUCAGUAACUAGUGAAAAUAAAUUUCUCCUUCUACCUGUUCAUAGUCUGGAAGCUGUGCUGUUUUCCCCGUGGUGGAAGUAAAACCAUCUUCAUUCUUAGCAUCUGGUAAUAAGGAUUCUCCCUGGUUUUAAGGAUCAUGAUGUGUUUGUGUUUGGAUGGGUGGGGAAAGGGAAAGAAAAAUUGUUUUUCCAGGUACUUGAGAAUUUGGAAGAGAUAUUAAUAUCUGCGUAAAUAUUUAUGUACAGAGAUGUUUAUCAUUAUGUUACUGACAAGAUUUGGAAAAUUGUAAACAAUAGAAAUAUUGAAAAAUGUUUAAAAAAAAAUCAAACCCACUGCCAUCGAGUGAAUUCUGCAUCAUAGCCGCCCUAUAAGACAGAGUAGAAAUGUCCCAUAGGGUUUCCAAGGCUGUAAAAUCUCUGUGGAAGCAGACAGCCACAUCUUUGUCCUGCAGAGCACCUGGUGGGUUCAUAUCUCAAAUCACUAACAUUUUAUUUAGCAGCUGAGCAUGUUAACCACUGUGCCACCAGGGCUGUAUGUUAAAAAUAGUUAACAUCUAAUUAGUUGUAUUGUGACCAUUUCUUCUAAUAUGCAUUUUUAAUGAAUUCCUUAUAAUUAAUAUGGGAUUAAUAUGGGUGAUUAUUUUUGGAAUCUCUAAAAUUAAUUUUAUUUCUUUAAGUAGCAAAGCCACUGACUAAAGUCAAAUAUUUUUAAAAAUCAGUUUUAUCCAUUUAUUUGAUAGCAAAUACGAUGUUACUCCCUUGCUGUAAAAUCUUUCACUGACUUCCUAUUAACUUUAAAGUCUAAAUUCUAAUAUAUAUACAAUGAUUUUUAUAAUCUGAUCAUAUCUAAAUGGCAACCUCACUUUCUAUCUAGUUUUCCUUUCCUCCUUGCACUCUCAGAUUACCAAUUUAUUUGUUAUUCCUCCAGAACAGAAUCUAUCACAUGUUAGUGUCUUUGGAUAUGCUGCCCCCACCCUCUGGAAUGCAAUUCACUCUAUUUUCAUCUGUCAAAAUUCCUCUGCAGAAAGCCUGUCUGCCCUGAUUCCCACAAGAUACACAGGCUGUGUUUCUUUUGUGCUCUAAUUGUAGAUGGUGAAUACCAUGCUAUUACUCCUGGAACAGUGCUUUCUGAGUUUCCUGAGGGUCAAAGGUGUGCUUCUGAUUUCUGUAUGUUAGUCUUCACAACGUGUGCUGGGUUCACAGAAGGAACUCAAUAAUUGGAGGAAGAGGAAUUACACAUCAAAGAGUGGGAGAAGUAGACGUAAUUCAGUAUAUUUCAAAUUUUUCAAAUGAUAAUAUAAAAAUUACACAUAGAUCAAAAUUGAAUACAAAAAAUCAACAUAUCAAUAUAAUAAUGUCAAGCAUAAAAUGAUAUAUAAUAUAGCUCACAUGAGAUAAAACUAAGAGUUCACUAUUAGUUUUUUUUUUUUUCUUAAACAGUGGAUGCUAUGGUACCAUUUUACAUCUAUUCCUUUAGCAAAAUAAUAUUAAACAAUCAAAAUAUGUAUUAACAAGGCUGCAGAAAUCCUGCAACAUUCAUAAAUCAUGGAAGCAUUUCUUUAUUCAUGCAUCCAUUCAACCUGCAUUUAUUAUCUAUUCUGUGUUAUGCGUACUGACAGGAACUGGGGAUACAAAUUGAAUAAGAUAUUGGCCAUGCCCUCAAGGAGAUUAUUGCAAUGAUACAUGAACAGACAGAUUUUAGGAGAUAACUCAAGAGAGAUAUUUAUGUCAAAAUAGGGGCUACAUCAGGAAAAAAAUUCCAAUGAGGAGAGAAACCUUAAAUUAAUAUUUAAACCAAGAAUAAGGCAGGGGAAAAAGUGAGCAAGGUUAAUGAAAGCACAAAGUAAUAAAGUGGGAUGACUCACUCAAGGGCUUAAAUAUUGGUGCAUCAUUUAAAAAAGUAAAUUUAAAAAAGAAUAAUAAUAAAUAUGUUCAUACACUUUGACUCAAUGAGUUUUGUGUUUGGAAAAUUAUGAUGCUAAAACAUUCCAAAGGGCAAACUAUAAUGCCAGUUCAUUUCUAAAGCUAAAGGAAAAGGAAAUAGCUUAAAUGUCCAGAAUUGGGUAACUUAUUAGGUAAAUGAUAGCAUAUUGAUUUACCACAUUAUUAUAUGGUUCUCAAUAUUAUUGAGUAUUAAAAUUAUAUAGCAGCAUGGGAAAAGUUUAUAAAAUGAGGUAGGGGAACAAUGAAAUGCUACAUUUAUGUUACCAGAUUGUGAAUACUGUUUGUUAUUUUUUUCUAGAAGACUUACAGCCUCACUUUUUAUAAAAUGCUUAGACCUAUGAUCCAUUUCAAAUUAAUUUCUGUUUAGCAUAUGGGAUAAAAUUUGAGGUUAACUUUGUUUCCAUAUGGGUUUUGUGUUGUUCCAGCAAAAUUUGUUAAGAGUUUUCUUUUCCUACUGAACUGCUGUGAGGUUUUGGUGAAAAAUCAAUUGACUAUAGAUGAAUGGGCCUCUCUUGGACCUUCUAUUCUAUUUCACUGACCUAGUUGUCUAUCCUUAUGCCACUUCCACACUGCAUUGUACAUGGCUGCUUUAUAGAGAAUCUUCUAGUUAUGUUAAAUUUACCUGUUUGACUUUGUAGUUGCUUUGUACAUGCCUUAAAAGUUUCUUUGCAGAAAAUCAUGUCAUCUGCAAAAGCAAAGUUUUACAUAUUCCUUUCCAAUUUUAUACACCUCCCCUUUUUAUUGCCCUACUACACUUGCAGGAGCCCUGGUGGGACAGUGGUUAAUGGCUAAGCUGCUAACCGAAAGGUCAGCGGUUCGAAUCCAUCAGCCACACCAUGGGAGUAAGAUGAUGCAGGCUGCUCCUAUAAAAAUGUACAGCCUUGGACAUGCUAUGGAGCAGUUCUACUCUGUCCUAUAGGGUCGAUAUGAGUCAGAAUCGACUCCAUGGCAACUGGAAAUGGGGCUGCAUUUGCAAGGGUCUCUGGUACAAUUUUGGAUAAAGUUAGCAAAACAAAAAAGAAAAUAUUAAUCUUAAGGGAACGUCAUUCAAUAUUUUGCCAUAAAAAAUUAUGCUAUUUUCCUGCCUCUAUUGAGAUGAUCACUUGUUUUUCUCUCCUUAUUCUGUUUAAAUGUUGAUUUAUUAAUUUUCAAAUGUUAACCAAAUUGUAUUAGUGAGAUAAACUCGACUUUGUCAUGUUGUAUUGCUCUUUUUGUAUAAUAUAGGAUUCUAGUUGCUAAUAUUUUGUUAAAGAUGCAGUGUCUUAAUUUUUAUUUCUUGUCAUAUCUUUGUCAAGUUUUAGGAUCAGAUUUAUACUCCUCUCAUAAAAAGAAUUGCUAUGUAUUCCUUCCUACUCUAUUUUGUAAAAGAGUGUUUAGAUUUGACUUUAUUUUUUCUUAAAAUUUUUAUAAAACCAUCUGGACCUUGAGUUUCCUUUACAGCAAGUUUUUGAUUACAUAUUCAAUUUAUUUUAUGGUCCAAGAGCUAACGUGAUUUUCUCUUUCAACUUGUGUCAGUUUUAGAAAUGUAUGCUUUUUAAGGAAUUUGUAUGUUUUAUCUAAAAUGUUGAAUUUAUUGGAAAAGAAAAGUUAAACUUUAUAUAAGUUAAACAUUUCUGCUCAUUAAAAACACCUUUAAAAGCAUCUGGUUAUGGUUAAGAUGGAAAAAGUGCUCUCUACCUGGAUUCUCACACUGAAUGCAUGGAGCUGCUACCUGAAGACUCUGAAAGGUAAGUGGUAGCAGGGAGGUCGGAGAGAGAAAAAAAAAAAAGACCCAAAUUAAGGUCAAUCCAACAGUGAAUGUCCCUUUUUUUUCCUGUUUCUCCAGAGUCCUCUACCCUGAACUCAAAGGCAGCUUGAAAUGCAAAAUUUCACACUUCUUGCGCACAGAGACAUC